rnacentral:lncRNA from 1 species
GUAUAGAGAGGCAAGGAGUGUCUCAAACUUUUUGUCUGAUUGUGGACUAUAGAUGCUGCUUCUGUCAGCAUCUGUAUAGCUGGUGGCAUAGUGAAAUGAACCAGAGGUUUGGGGACUGUGCUGGUCAGUUUUUUUUUUAAUUUGACACAAGUCAAGGUCAUCUAAGAAGAGAGAAGAAACCUCAACUGAGAAAAUGUCUUCAUCAAAUUGACCUGUGGGUAAGUAAGUUCAUGGAUGUGGGAGGACCUAGCAUAUGUGGGAGGUGCCACUCUUGGGCAGGUAGUCCAAAGUUUUACUAUAAGAUAACAAGCUGUGCAAGUCAUGGGGAGCAAGCCAGUAAGUAGCACCCCUUCAUGCCCUCUGCUCCAGGUUAUUAUAUUAUAAUUAUAGCAUUUCUCCUUUGCCUUUUCUCCCUUCAAAUCCUCCUAUAUACUGUCGUCUGUAAUUCUAGUCCCAGGGGCUCUGUCAUCCUCUUCUGGCCUCUGUGUAUCAGGCAGGCACAUGGUGUACAUAUACCCAUACAGCUAAAAUGUUCAUACACAUAAAUAUAGUACAAUAAAUAAAUCUUAAAAAAAAGAAAGCAGUAAUUUUUCUGUACAGAACCUGCUAACAGGUAUUAAAUAUCAUUUAAUAUCUACAGUGGUUCAGAAGGUGGGUGCUAGGCUGCUUGGCUGUUAUCUUCAAACACAGGACACUUGAGUAUGCAAAACUCUUAAAUUCUUCCCCAUAGAUCAGUCAUGUGAGAGUAAGUUAGGAUAAAAUAGAGAAUUCAUUUUGUGUUUGUUUUUUGGAAAAAAUAUUGUUUUAUUGUUGUUUGGUUUUAUUUGUUGUCCUUUUUUGACAGGGGCUUGUUGAGGCAGCAUUUCUUGUUGCCCAGGUUGAUCUUAUAUUUACUGUGUGACUGAUGUUGACUUUGAAUUCCUCCUGUUUCCCCCUGCCUCAGCCUCCCUGGUGCUGCAAUGCUGGGUGUGCACGGGUGAAGACAGCUACCAUCAGGCAAAGCAAGCUAACUGGAAAUGGUGUGUGCUUUUGAAACCUCAAAGCAAGACCUAGUGAUUUACACACACACACACACAUACACACACACACACACACACACACACACACACACACACUCACACACUCCUAAUCCUUCCCAAACAAUUCAACUGCUGGGGACCAAGUAUUCAAGUAUAUGAGCCUGUCGGGGCCAGUCUCAUUUAAACCAUCACCUGUUAAGUGUGUGGGAUCACUUGGAUCUGUGUGUCUAGCAGUGUAUACAUGUUGUUUGUGUAUAUGUGUGCACGGCAUUGUGAGUUACAUGUUUACACAUCUGUGCGGAGGCCAGAGGUCAACAUUGGGCAUCUUCCUCACCUAAUAUUUGGAGACAGUUCCCUUACUGGAGCUUGCUUAUUUGUUGACUGGACAGUGAGCUCUGGUGCUCUGCCUGUCUCCAUGUACCCAGCACUGGUAUUACAAACUACUGCAGCUGCCUUUUAUGUGGGUUCUGGAGAAGGAAGUCGUUUCCAUGUUCGUGCAAUCUGUGCAUUAUAAACCACACCGUUUCCUCAGGCCUAGGUGUCAAGAUUCUAAUUAGAAAGCCAUACAUUAAUUUUUUUGCUAUGACCACUUUUUCCCUUCAGAUUUGCUAAGGAUCAAUAUUUUAUGUUGACUAAAUGCUAGGGUUGGUAGGAAUAGACACUUAUUUCUGCCUCAGACUCAGUCUGUUGUUUUUUCAUGAUUAAAAUAGGCACUGUACAGUUAACAGUAGGAUAGGAUGUGAAUUAUAGUUAAACACAGUGUCUGUCUCUGUCUCUGUCUCUGUCUCUCUUUGUAGUGAAAGUUAAAGCAGGUAGAAAUUCUUACUGGCCUAAUACCUUGUCUACCAGCCACUGCCCAACUUCUGCUUGAGACCUUGCCUGGUGCCCAAUCAGGUCUUGGUUUAAUGCUGCAGGUCAACAAGAUUCUGUGACACUGCUUUAGGUCUGAGCCAGCAUCCUCAUGUCUUUGUUGAGUGACAGCAGUCAUUUUCCAUUUGAUGAUUCAACAGCCAGUUGCAUGAUUGUAGUAUUUCAGAAAUCUGUCUCCAAGGAUUGCCUAAAUGAGCUGUAUCUUUGAACCCUACUGGUUUGUAUUUCCUGUGUGUUGAAACAAUAUACUUACUAUGUACAGGUAUUUCUGCACUAUUCCUGAGAGUUCAAGGGGACUGGUCAAGACGAGGGAAAAGCCACUGGAACAUGAAUGCUCUUGAGUCCAGGAACAUGGCAGAGAGAAUACAGAAUGAAAUGUUUUGUCUGGUGACACUGAGUAAGAACUGUUGACAGAAUUCACUCAAGGAAUGAAAGUGGCUUCCCCUUAGAAGAUGAGGCUAUUAAAAUGAGUUGUCAUGGAUUUUCCAUGGAAAUAAAAAUCAUUAUUCUGUUCAAAUAAUUGUGAGGCUGAUAAUUAUAAAGAUCUGAAGUUAGCAAAAUUACAUAGCCCAAGUUAAUUACAUUAGUGUUCUCAAACCAAAUAUAGAGUAAGAUUAACAUUUCUAUGUCAGUCCAGCCUCCUAGCCUUAGCUGCCUUCUCCCAUUCUCUUUUCCUUUCCUGGCUUUUUCUUCCCCUUCCCUCUCUGUUAUUUUUCCUCCUCCCUCUCUCUUCCCUUCUUUUUUCUCUUUUGUUAUUGAUCCCAGGGUCUUGUACAUGGUAGGCAAACAUUAUAACACUGAACUAUAUUCAGAAUAUCCCAGUUAGCUGCCUUCUGAAUAUAUGUGUUUAGAGUAUCCUAGAUGAGUUUUCAGGAAAAUUUGUCAAAACAAGAGACUUUGAGUUUUUUCUUUCCUGUGUGUGUGUGUGUGUGUGUGUGUGUGUGUGUGUGUGUGAGAGAGAGAGAGAGAGAGAGAGAGAUGUGGGUGGAGUUCUUCAAAUACCAGAGGUAAAGGCAUGGAAUAAUUUGCCAGCUCUUUUUAUGAUAUUAAGAUGAUGGCACCUAGGGCCCUGUUCAAGCUAGGUAAGUGCUCUAGCACUGAACUAUUUCCUACCUCCAUUUAGGACACUAUUGGAGAAGAUGACUAAAUAGCUGUUCCUUCUACCUCCCAAAUCCUGGGAUUAUAGGUGUUCACCACCAUGCCAACCUUAUGGUGCUGGAGAACAAAUUUAAGGCUUUGUACAUAUGAGCCAAAUACUCCUAUAACUAAACUACAGUCAGGGUAUUUACAGACCUCCCUCCUCACUUAAAAAUACAUAUUGUUCAGCAGCCAGUCAUAGUUGCUAGUGCACACCUUUAAUCCCAGCACUCAGGUGGAUCUUUGAGUUAUAGUCAGCCUGGUUUACAGAGCCAGUUCCAGGACAGCCUUGGCUACACAGAGAAACCCUGUC